UCUUAGCAAUGGUUUCAGUUUUGUGUUGCUCGGUGUAUCUGUUUAAACUCCUUUCAGCUGAUUCAAAGUCUGUAGCGUUUGUUUGUUGUUUGUUUAUUCGUCCUCUAAAAUCGAGCAUCUUUUGCUUUUCGCGAGAGUCUUUUUGACCGGCGGAGAGAAGAUUGAGGUGGAUUUAUUUAACAACUUCCGGUCACAUUUGCAUCAGACACACCAAGAAAAGAGGUAAGCAAAAAAAAGCAAAAAAAAAAAAAAAAAAAAAAGAAAUAAACAUUACUUACACAAACCUAACACCAAAUCAAUAAGUGGCUCCAAUAAACAUUUACAUACACACAAAUCAUUACAGCUGAACUAAUCUCAGGUCAGAAUAAAUUUAACUGAACAUAACUUCUCAAAGGUCGCACCCCUCCUAAUUUAGAUGGUACGCUCCAGCACUUUUUAAGCAGCUUUUUUUUUUUUCCUCCUUUUGCUGCUCCGCCCUUCUGAGGAAACAGCUGGAAAGGCAGUAUGGCCAGUCCCUCCGCUCACAACCACGUUUAACGAAAUGUCAAAACACAACUGAAACACAGAACUGAACAAAGAAAAACUUGGUCCGUAAAUUAAUUAAACACCACGUGAUAUCCAGAGUCCUAUUUCAGGAGAGAUGGUCUCCGUCAUGAAUCAGGAUUGACCUCUUCAGCAGUUGGAGCUCCAGGGCCAAUCAUCAUUAGCGACACAAGAUUGACACCGUGCACCUCACCUGGGGACCAAGACACAUCACAUCUGGAAGUCGCCCACUUACAAGACUAAUCUAUCAUUUGUCGAGUCGUGCUGUAGUGACGAGGUACGGCGACAAGUUUAUCGUCCCGCUCUGCGGCAGAUUGUUCAUACUUGAGCUGCCAUAAAUCAACAGGGAGGUUAAGAAAGUUGCAUCGCAACAUCAGAUAACGUGGUUUUUUUUUGACUAACCUUUGAGUGCCGGAGAGAGGGACCCUUCUAUUUUUGAUUUGUUUCUUUGUUGUUGUUUUUUUUCGAACCCCGCUCAAGUGAAAGUUCAUCACGUAAUUGAUUUCAUUCAGCUAUGUGAAGAGACCAGCACUCUCCAGAUGUAACGGCCUCCGAAAAUCCCGUCGCAAUUUCUUGUAAAAACAUAAUGGCGUUUAAAACGGCUAAAAUCGCACGCGUCACAUUAGGUCGAGGAAACUGGAACACUGUCACGCAGAAGACUGUUAGAACGUCACCCAUGUGGUUUGGUGUUGCUCCUGUCGGCUGAAGUGAGACUGAACACCGUGUUGACAUGACAAAACCUGCCUGAGGUUCACAGGAAGUAGAUUUUAGCUGAUUAUGAGCCUCAUAAGGUCUUCGAAAUGCUCUUAAAAGAUUCAAAACAACUGCAAACAUGCUUGGAUCUGACGAUGUGAGUAAUUUCCUCUAGAAAAGGAUGGAAGAUGCUAAAAGUCCCUGAAGACUCCAAAGAGACCUCAUGGGACCUACAAUAUGAAUUUAUUACCAUUAAUUUGAAAUAAAAAUCCAUUAUGAUUUCUAGUUCCCCAAUCAGUUUCAAAGACUAAAAAAUAUGAGGAUUCGUUAUUCUUUUGUUUAAUGAGAAACCCCCCCCCCCAACCCCCGCCUUAAAUUUCUGGCAUUUAUUUGCACUUAUUUCAUUUGUUCUAGAGGUAAAAAAAAAAAUGAAUUAAUGGGAUGCUCUACGUCAUACUGACAUGUCCUCGUGUGGUAAUCUCGUCUCCUAAAAGAUGCUGUGUUCAAUGAAGCUCAUUUCCACGUCCCAAACGAACAACGCUGACACGAAAUCUCUCACACACUUUGCAACAAUGCCCCGGCCUGCGAGUAAACCUACCCUGGUACAAGUCUGAGGUCAGGUGUUUACAUACUGGAAGCCACAUGCUUUAUUUGUUUGCACAAGCUGCGUCCCGUAUCGAGUAUCACGACAGCCGUCUGUGGUUCUCGCAACAUGCAACAGUGCGCCAGCUAGUUGAAUCGAGCACCAAGGGAUAUUUUCCUAACCAAUCUUGCAGGUUUUGCUCUUCUUAAAAGGAUGGAAACAAAGUUAAGCCUGUAGAUUUGAGAUAUUACCGAAGGAAGCGUUCGGUGGAUUUAAAUGGGAGGAAAAGGGGGAAGUGUUGAUGAAGUUUGACUUGCGUUUAUUUGGUAGGAUUUGGGUUUUACUGUCUAUUUUUUUUUUUUCCUUUCCUGAAAAGGCAAGUACUAUCCUGAAUAAGUACUACUAGACUUACUCAGCUUAUUAUAGUUACUUCAACAGCACCUUUACUCAGUUUCUCUGUUUGAGUAACUUUGCACCAAAGAAACUUUGACAAACUUUGGUACAAAGUUACACAAACGUUGGUCAAACACCACUGAAGGUUUUCUUGUUCAGUUCAUUUUAGCUCUGAAAAAUUGACGUUCAAUGAAGAUUUCUUAUUACUUGAAGCAGCCCUGUAUUUCCCUUGACUCCAUCAAACACUAGGCACCCACUCAUUUCUGCAUAAGGACAGGAAGAGUGUGAAAAAGGAUACGCGUACCCAUCUGUGUCUUUGUAUCGUGUAUUUUUUUUUGGUUUAGACGGAGAUUCUUUAGUAUGUUUUGCCAACCAGACAGAGGUCAGAUCGGUAUUAUGAUGUGUUGACAAGCUUUACUAUAUAGUUUUCAGAAACAAACAAACAAACAAACAAAAAAAAAACCCAGAUCUGCGGGGAAACCAAUCAGGGCCGAGCACAGGUCUCACGGUGGCAGUUCAAGCUAUUAUCGACCUCUGCAGCACAUCUCCGAGCUUCUCUUACAAUCCAUAACGGUGCCGAUGGGAGAUUUAUCUCUUUAAUUCAACUUUUGCAUUAACUCCUCACCGCUCCUUUCUCCAAUCUGGCUUCGGGCAUCCGAGAGCUGAAAAAACUAAACUAAACAAAACGACAAAAAAACACUUUUCCUCUGAAGGCAGCGGGCCGCACUGUGGGUUCUUUUAUUUAUCAUGGUUACUGCUGACGUUGGCUAAUAAGACAGCUUGUGUGCAUUUCACACAGGGAAUGGAUUUUAAAACGAGUGCUAUGAAACGGCCUGAAUUAGGCUUUCCCCUCAGUAACAGUUAUAAAUCCUCACAGCUGCUGCACUUACAGCUUUAAGGCGUGUUGGGGUAAAACAAAAACAAAAAAUUAAACAAAAAACCCCCCACAAACCUGUUUUUAUGCUUCAAGUGUAAGAGCCUGAGUGGUUUUCUGGUUGCAAUUAAUUCAAACAUUUUUUCUUUUUUUUCUGUGAUGUGAAUUAAUUUGUUAUAGCUCUUGUGUUUACUUGCAGAAAAGCUAAUAAAACACAUUUAUGCA